UCUGCAUUGAAACUCCAAAUCCCAUAUGAUCACUGAAGUUAAGCAAUGUUAAAUCUGGUCAGUACCUAGAUGGGUGACCACUUGAGAAUAGCAGGUACU